UCUCAUGGAUGAGCAAAGAAAGUGGUCUCUUCAGAUGGAAACUAUUCCCAGUGAAGGUGUUGUGAA
rnacentral:pre_miRNA from 1 species